rnacentral:rRNA from 1 species
AUUGAACGCUGGCGGCAGGCCUAACACAUGCAAGUCGAGCGGAGCGGCGGACGGGGGAGUAAUGCCUAGGAAUCUGCCUGGUAGUGGGGGAUAACGUCCGGAGACGGGCGCUAAUACCGCAUACUAUCAGAUGAGCCUAGGUCGGAUUAGCUAGUGGGUGGGGUAAAGGCCUACCAAGGCGACGAUCCGUACCUGGUCUGAGAGGAUGAUCAGUCACACUGGAACUGAGACACGGCCCAGACUCCUACGGGAGGCAGCAGUGGGGAAUAUUGGACAAUGGGCGAAAGCCGGAUCCAGCCAGGCCGCGUGGGUGAAGAAGGUCUUCGGAUUGUAAAGCACUUUAAGUUGGGAGGCGUUACCAACAGAAUAAGCACUGGCUAACUUCGUGCCAGCAGCCGCGGUAAUUC